CACGCGCCCGGCCCAGCCCUGGCCCGGCCUCCGCCCGCGCGGCCGCACCUCCCAGUCCUAAGCAGCUGUGGCUGCGAGCGUGGCCGUGGGGUUCGGCUCAGGGCCCCAAGCUAGCAAGAUGCCCCUUGGGUCGCCGUUCGGUCGUGGAAAGGGCCGGAGGGCGGGCUGCCCUCCUCGGUCGCUGACAAAGGGAGGCAGUGACCCCUAGCGGCCGGCAAGGGGGAGAAGCUGCUCGGUAGGGGUGGAGUUAAGAUGAGGAGGGGGGCUGCCGUAGGGAUCCGUGUGAACGCUGGAUCUGGCAUUGUCCGAGCUCCGAGGGCUUUUCUGACUCUCUGGUCCGACCCUGGGACCAUUUCGCAGAUGAGGAAACAAAGGCCCAGAGGAGGGCAUGGAGAGUGGCAGAAAGAAGCAGAGCACAGGCUAGAACUGUUGCCAAAGCUUCUGCUCCCCAAGAUCUGGACACCAGACGGAAACAGCUUUGCGGAGGACCAACCGCGAAAGCUGUGAAGAGUUGAGGCAAGACAAGACAUUAGUGGGUGAGAGAUCAGGGCACUCAGGUUUCUAGUGGGUCUUCUUUAAUCCUUAUUGCCUUCAGGGGGUCCUUGUCCCGAAAUCGAAGCAUUCUGCUUUCCCCAAAGAGCGACAAACCAAGUGGGCUCCCAUUGCCUUCACCUCGUUUCUGAGUGGUUUGCGGGAUUCCCGCGAAAGUGGCCCAUCCAGUCGGUGUCCCAGAACGGCCAGGACUCUCCGCCCCAUCCUGUUCGCCACCCACCACAUCCGGGUGGCUUCUUGCCAAGGAUCCAAAUCGGGACACCACGUGGCAUUUAAUGCAAGUGGCCUUCUAAUACCAAUGACAGGCUGUAUGCAUGAGAACCCUUCCCUGGCCUGCCAGACUGAGGCCAUUGUCACGGCCUCUGCCAUGCCUGUUGGAUCUAGCCUGCUUCUGGAGCCUUACGGCCCUCUGCCCUAGAGCUUUGAGUCUGAGAUACUAUAGGGUCCUGGGCUGCUGGUCAUAGAAUUUAUUUCCUGUGCAACUCUCUCACGGUCCUUUUGGUCAGCCACCUUCUCUUUGGCCUCAGUUUACUUACGUCUCCUCUGCCUUCCCCACAGCCCCCUUUCCAUCCCUGCAGCCUUACUGAUGAUUACUUCCAAUGCUUGAUCUACUCCAGGACAGGGACAGUACCAUCUUAUUCUCUUUCUUAUCCCUGGGACCUAAAGCACACCUCAUACCCACUGAACACUGAAUGGAAAUGGGCUGUCUUCUCACCUGUGUCCUCUGUCCCCUUUCGCCGAUCACAUAACCACCCUGGGUCUCAUUUCUCCUCAUCUGCAGACCGAGGAGGCUGAUGUGCCCACUGGCUUUCAAAUUGCAUUUUGAGAGCCCUACAACAUCUUUGGGUCCUAACUCCCAGCUUUAAUGAGAGCCAUGUUUACACAGCAUGUUGUUUUCAUACACUGUAAACACUGACCGUUCUGAAAAGUAUUUCUCUUAAUGGAGUUUGAAGAUUUGGCUGUUCAAAAAAGUUUGAGAUCCCGGGCUGAUUAUUGCGUUAUAUGUGAUGAUUGCAUAAAGGUGCUGCACGGUUUCACAAUUGCA